rnacentral:lncRNA from 1 species
CUGACUAACUGCUGCUUCCGUUUUAUGCCUUCAAGAUAAGCCCUUGGCAGGGAUUUUUUAUAAGCACACACAAAAGAAAACAACACAAGGUCAAGCUGUGUUGCUAAAUAUACUCUGAGCCUUGGGUAAGCUGCCUCGUCCUUCUGGGCCUUUGCUGUUCUCUGUGCAGAUGGAGUUAGAAAUGUCUCCACUGGCUGGUCUGAGAGGUACAGACGCUGCUGUUCAUAUGUGAACUCUCUUGUUCUCUCUGGUCACCGUUCUCUUUCCCCCUCCACAGUAAGCUACAACCUGAGAGUCUGUACACGUGUCUAGAUGCUCCUAUGUACGGGUGGAGAGAAUGUACCUGUGACAAGAAGCCUGCGUGUAGGUGUGGCUUUUGAGCCCAGCACUGAAAUUUAAAAACAAAAGACAAAAUAACAAAAAAAAAUAUUUUUACAUUAUUUGGCAUGGGCCAUUUUGAAUAUUUGAACAACUGUUGUAUUUCUAAUGUUUACUAUUUUGACCCCAAAAUACAUAAAAUAGACUUGUAAUUAAAAGAGAAAGUAUAAAUGAAUGAUCAUAUGCCUGAAAAAAAUAUGUGAAUGUUUUUAAAUGCAUUAUUUUAUAUAUCAAUCAAAAUAAUUGA